rnacentral:rRNA from 1 species
GAUGAACGCUGGCGGCGUGCCUAAUACAUGCAAGUCGAGCGGACAGACGAGGAGCUUGCUCCUCUGACGUGAGCGGCGGACGGGUGAGUAACACGUGGAUAUCCUACCUAUAAGGCUGGGUUAACUUCGGGAAAGCUGAGCUAAUACCGGUUAAUUUAUUGAAUCGCAGGGUUCAUUAGUGAAAGGCGGUUUUUCUGUUAGUUAUAGAUGUAUGCGCGCCGCAUUAGGUAGUUGAUGAGGUAACGGCUUACCAAGGCAACGAUGAGUAGCCGACCUGAGAGGGUGGUCGGCCACACUGGAACUGAGACAGAGUCCAGACUCCGACAGGGGGCCGCAGUAGAGACUCUUACGCGAGGGACGAAAGCUUGACGGAGCAACGCCGGGGGAGGCAUGAAGGUCUUCGGACGGGAGAACUAUGUUAGUAGGGGAGAACAAAUGUGUUAGUAACUAUGCACGUCUUGACGGUACCUAAUCAGAAAGCCACGGCUAACUACGUG